rnacentral:rRNA from 1 species
UACGUAGGGUGCAAGCGUUGUCCGGAAUUAUUGGGCGUAAAGAGCUCGUAGGCGGUCUGUCGCGUCGAUCGUGAAAACUUGGGGCUUAACCCUGAGCUUGCGGUCGAUACGGGCAUGACUGGAGUUCGGCAGGGGAGACUGGAAUUCCUGGUGUAGCGGUGAAAUGCGUAGAUAUCUGGAGGAACACCGGUGGCGAAGGCGGCAUCCUGGACCGGUAUUGACGCUGAGGCGCGAAAGCCAGGGGAGCAAACGGG